rnacentral:rRNA from 1 species
GAAUUUUGGACAAUGGGGGCAACCCUGAUCCAGCCAUCCCGCGUGUGCGAUGAAGGCCUUCGGGUUGUAAAGCACUUUUGGCAGGGAAGAAAAGGCUCUGGCUAAUACCUGGAGCUGCUGACAGUACCUGCAGAAUAAGCACCGGUCAACUACGUGCCAGCAGCCGCGGUAAUCCGUAGGGUGCAAGCGUUAAUCGGAAUUACUGGGCGUAAAGCGUGCGCAGGCGGUUCGGCAAGAAGGAUGUGAAAUCCCAGGGCUUAACCUUGGAACUGCAUUCUUAACUGCCGGGCUAGAGUAUGUCAGAGGGGGGUAGAAUUCCGCGUGUAGCAGUGAAAUGCGUAGAGAUGCGGAGGAAUACCGAUGGCGAAGGCGGCUUUCUGGUCUGUAACUGACGCUGAGGCGCGAAAGCGUGGGGAGCAAAC